AAAGAGAAAAGGAAACAAUAAAGCUUGGACAGCCAAAGAGCAACUUUUAGCAGAGCUGUGUUGUGAUUAUUGGGUUUUCUCAUAGGUUCUGCAUUUGGUGCCGAAGAGCUGACUAUGUGGAAGGAGAAGAGUCCAGGUGUGAAGAUUCUCUGGCUAUGGACCUUCGGAACCGCUGCUGUUCUUGUGACCAGUGUUGUGAGGACGAGAAUAAGAGACAUGGAAAAGCUUAUGAAUGCUGAACAGGGAGAAGCCAUUCAACCCGAGUCAACUCUCAUCAACGACUCACACGAGUUGGUUACUGUUUUUAAAGAAGAUGAAUCAUAGCUCAUAGCAUACUGGUCCUUAAAUCUGCUUUUGUCGACAUGUGAGAAUGUGAUGCUCAGAAGCUUUUCAAGUUGGGCGUCUUACUUUAGACAUCUCCUUGUUUAAUUUCUAAGUAGAUUAUAUUAUUGAAAUUGACGAGUUUUGUGGAAAAGCAGUUAUGUCAGUUUUGAAGAGUGCAAAAUUGUCUUUUAAAUCAUGUUGAGAAAAUUUUGAAUUUUUU